UACGUAGGGCGCAAGCGUUAUCCGGAAUUAUUGGGCGUAAAGAGCUCGUAGGCGGUUUGUCGCGUCUGCCGUGAAAGCCCGGGGCUUAACCCCGGGUCUGCAGUCGAUACGGGCUAGCUAGAGUGUGGUAGGGGAGAUCGGAAUUCCUGGUGUAGCGGUGAAAUGCGCAGAUAUCAGGAGGAACACCGGUGGCGAAGGCGGAUCUCUGGGCCAUUACUGACGCUGAGGAGCGAAAGUGUGGGGAGCGAACAGG
rnacentral:rRNA from 1 species